GACGAACGCUGGCGGCGUGCUUAACACAUGCAAGUCGAACGGAAAGGCCCUGCUUUUGUGGGGUGCUCGAGUGGCGAACGGGUGAGUAACACGUGAGUAACCUGCCCUUGACUUUGGGAUAACUUCAGGAAACUGGGGCUAAUACCGGAUAGGAGCUCCUGCUGCAUGGUGGGGGUUGGAAAGUUUCGGCGGUUGGGGAUGGACUCGCGGCUUAUCAGCUUGUUGGUGGGGUAGUGGCUUACCAAGGCUUUGACGGGUAGCCGGCCUGAGAGGGUGACCGGCCACAUUGGGACUGAGGUACGGCCCAGACUCCUACGGGAGGCAGCAGUGGGGAAUAUUGCACAAUGGGCGGAAGCCUGAUGCAGCAACGCCGCGUGCGGGAUGACGGCCUUCGUGUUGUAAACCGCUUUCGCCUGUGACGAAGCGUGAGUGACGGUAAUGGGUAAAGAAGCACCGGCUAACUACGUG
rnacentral:rRNA from 1 species